CUCAAUUUUUAUCAAUUUGUUAUUAGAACUCAAUUUAAAUAAGUUACCAGUACUUUUUAUGCAAAAAUGCUGAUAAACUCGAUUAAUUUGAGUUGUCCUAACUUAGAAAAACUAAGUAAGCUGGAAGUUUUGCUUCUCAGGGCGGAAGGAUGAAAGAUGUGUUUUGAAAAUGCCACGUGACUGCCGUUCUCCUCCCUCCCGGAUCAGUCCGCAUGUUCAUGGCACCAGCAUUUGUUAUGGAAUAUAUUGAGCAAACCUGGAGAUAUUAUUGUUGUCAUUGCUGUGGAUCUUUACUGACUUGGCUCGGGACCAGCACUCCUGUUGUUGGACAGAAAGACAUCAACUCAGUGACUUGAGAUAUGACUGCACUAUGCUGUUGCUGUGACUCCAGUUAAUUCUACAAGACAUGCUGUGACACCAGGAGAGAUGAGUCCCCCGUCACAGAUGGUGUGGUCAGUGAAGAUGGUCGCCUGCAGGUUCAAGCUCAUUGCAUCUCCAACCCACAUCCACUGCGACUGUACUUAAGGGAAGUUAAAGACUUUCUUCUGCACUUACAUUUGGAUCACCUCGAUCCAUGAUAGUCAUUCAGGCAGUAAUGCCUGGACUGGAAACAAGCCAUCCUUAAAAUAUUACAACAUUCCAGCUCCUGUGUUGGAAUGAAAAACGAAUGUGUUGUUUAAAUUAGAGACUGCACUUGUGACAGAACAAUAAAUAUUUUAUGUUGAUUAUAUAAAUAAUGUAAGUACAAAACAAACUUGUGGUAGGCCUAAACUUAUUUUCAGAAUAAUUACAUCUAAGACUUUGUUUCGUUGUAAGAUUAUAACAGUGAUGGCAAUAUCAUUUUUAUUCAGCAGAACAGUGUCCAGUAUGUUGGCUGUUG